UGUAGAAAUGUAGAGUUGUAGCUUGACACUUAGGUAUUUAUUAUUUUGUUAGUACCUUGGCAGUGAAUUCUAGCAGCGAAGCCUCUUCAUUUCGAGCAGCGAUAGCCUGAUUGGUAAACUAGUGCUUUGUGUGUGCUAGUACCUCACAAUGUCAUCCUUGUAUAUGCACAGAUGAAAUUAUUCACCCCGCCAUUGUCACUGUUUCCUAAUCGAGUACAACAAACCUCCUAUGGUUUUUUGUGCAAAAUAAGUGUGAAACAUUGUAGUGCUAACCCAACAUGUACCUAACAUUUCUGAUGUGUAUUUCCUUUGAUUCCCUAGGCUUAACCUGGAAGCUAUAAUAACUUUGAAUCGGUCUGUGGGAAAUUGGGCAUAUUGGGUUGGUAAAUAUAGAACUGUAGAGAUGUAGAACUAAAGCGUGGUACUUAGCUAUUUAAGUUGUUGGUACUUGGUAGUACCUACACAGUGAAGUCUAGUUGAUUCAGGAAAACUUGACUUGAGAUUUUCUUUCUUAUGAUUUACUGAUGAAACCUUGAUUGUUGAAUCUUGAUGUAGGCAUCCCACCGCCGAUCCAUAUCCAGAUCAGCUGCGUCGUCGGUUCCGCACACAGGUCAACAUGCCCUGUUUAUAUGAAUUGUUUUGUAUCUAGUGACUAGUUGUCACACUGAUUAAAAUCUCCGCGCAACGAGCAAGUAAUCAGUGGCCGUGAAGCAACGUUUAUAAUAUUUGUAUCCUACCAUGCAAAGAAGUAAUACUUGACUGCUCGCUAGCAAGAUUUCAAUCAUAAUCUGUGCAUACUUGUUUAUGAUAUUUGUGUGCCCAUGUAAAACAUAUGCAGUUUGUCCUAGGCUAGAUCCCAACCCGCAUUAGAGCUGCACACUAUGAUUUCCUCUUGCCAGUGAGAUCUGUUCGUACUUGUCAGUAGUCGAUGGGACGCUCAAGCUUCACUGCUGCUUCUGCUGUAUAUUUUUUGUAACCCAUGUUUCUACUUGCAAUCAGCAUACAAUUUUGCAUCAAAUGGUUAAAUGUUUCCACACUCUAUAGGAUUAGUGCGUCUUGUUGCUUGUUGCUAGCUGUAGGAUCAGAAUUUUGGUUGUUGUUUUGGUGAUGUAGGCCAAGGGAAAUGACUACCGUUCCAGGGUCUCCAGUCUGGGAGCUCAUGAAGAAGCACAACUACUUCUGGAUCAAGCAGUUCGGUGACAGCAACACCAAGGUGCAGUUUAGCAAGGAGCCCAACAACCUCUACAAUGUCCACUCCUACAAGUUCUCGGCUUGGCGAACAGCAAGACCGUGGCGGUCCAGCCAUUAGCGGGAGAGGACAAGGUUGUUUCCUGUCCAUGACCAAGACCAAGAAGCAGAACACCCCUGCCAAGCUCCAGCACAAGACUCUAAUGCGCAAGGAGUUCUGCAAGAUGGCCAAGUCUGUCAAGAACCAGAGUUGUGGCAUGGCAUGCUUGAUUUUUUGGUGGACUUGUGUCCCUGAUGAUGCACCGUUGUUGCACUGCCAACCAUCAGAUGCAGUAGCUGCUCCAGCUUGCUACCCCGCUGCCGCCGCUUGUUGUUUUUCUACUGCUCCUACUAGUUAGUCAUUGCUGCUGCUCCUAAGCACUGCUAAUAGAUGUUGCUACUUGCCGCUGUUGAUUCCUCCUACAGCAUGGCAUCUGCCAUUGUAACUUCAUGCUGAUGUAACAUGUGAAUCUGUUGGUCCUGCUUAUUGUCUUUAAAGAAGGCAAUGUACCUACCUUAUUUUGUGCUCUGUUAUUAUCUUUGAUCAGUAUCAGUUGUGUCUCUUAGAGAGACACUCCUACCUUUUCUGACUUGAGUUGUUAACUAUUGUUCCAUACUUCUGUUAGCUACAACAAAAAAUCUUUGAAUUUGGUACUGCAUGAUUUUUUACUACUGCUUACACACAGAGUAUUUGCUACUACUAAAACAGCGAUUUUGUAUGCACUGCUACCUGAUGAGUGCUUUCUUUGUAAUAUUUCACCUUGGCAUGCAUAUGUUUGUUCGGUUUGAACUUUGCAUGACAUGAUAUAAUUAUUUCCAGUGUUUUUCUCAACUUAUUUUCAUUGACACUUGAUAUAUAGUUAGCUUGUACUUGAAGCUAUGGGUUAAUGUGGUGAUUUUGUUCUACUUGGAUGCAUUGUACCCCCAUAAUCGAGCGCAUGGAUGCAAUGGCAAGAAGAUCAUGGUUGUGUGCAUCAUCAAGCACACCACGGAGAUAAUCGACCUCCUCACCGAUGCUGUGCAUGUUGUAGACUGUUGACUGUAGAGUGGUACACUUCCUGGAGCAUUGUAAUGCCUUACCAAGUAGCAAUUGCAUGAAGAUAGUCCACAGCACAAAAACUAUGUGUAAUGGAUCCAUCACUUACAAUCUUUGAAGGUUUUCAAAUGUUGAAGGAGGAGGAUAAUAGGAACUUCUGUGAUGUCUUGUCAUCUAUUUUCUUUUCUUUGUUGUAGAAUAGUUUUGUUUGGCACUUACUAGUUCCUUGGACAUAAAGAUAUGUACUGCCAGAAUGAAUGCAUGUAAAUAUAUUUUGGGCUCCUAUAAUAUUCCAUGUUGCUUUGAAAAUGUAUCAUAACUAGGCUAGGCCCAAGAUAACUUGUAGUGUGAUGUGUUGUAAUGUCAAUGGCAUAAUAAAAGAAGUUGGAUUGGAUCAA